rnacentral:miRNA from 8 species
AAGUUCGAAUCUCACGGUACC